ensembl:lncRNA
UGCCUCACUAGCUUCCUCAAGAGGAGGAGGAGGGGAGGAGGAGAGAAGAGGAGCCAGGGAAUUGCCUGGCUCUGCAUACAUUUACUGCAGUUGAGAUGCCAGAUUGUCAAAACACAAACGAGAUGGCAGGGAAAGGUGAGUUGUAUACCCCAUCUGUCAGGCGUUUUAUAUAGGAGGCGGAAAGAAGAGGAGACAGUACUUUGCAUGCUACUUCCUGCCAACACUGUGGUGGUCAGAACAACUUGCUGCUUCUGUUGUUGUUGUUGUUGUUGUUGUUGUUAUUGUUGUUGAUGAUGAUGAUCUUCAAGUAAUUCCUGGGAGUUUGAAACCUGGGGCUCUUCCAGACAGCCAUAUAACCCAGAAUAUCAAGGCAGAUAAUCCACAGUGAUUGAGGAAUAAUUUAUUUUGUGUUAAAAGCAUUGGAUAAAUAAAUAAGUGUAAAACUGAUAAAAUAAAAGGAGUAGAUAAAGGUAAAGGUUAUCCCCUGACAUUAUGUCUAGCCGUGUCCAACUCUGGGGGUUGGUGCUCAUCUCCAUUUCUAAGCCAAAGAGCUGGCGUUGUCCAUAGUCACCUCCAAGGUCAUGUGGCCACUGGCAUGACUGCAUGGAGUGCCGUUACCUUCUUGCUGGAGUGGUAUCUAUUGAUCUACCCACAUUUGUAUGUUUUCGAAUUGCUAGGUUGGCAGAAGCUGGAGCUGACAGCUCUCUGGAUUUGAACCACUGACCUUUCAGUCAGCAUGUUCAGUAGCUCAACUGUUUAACCCGCUGCACCAUCAUAAGCUUCACUUCACUUCACUUCACUUCACUUCACUUCACUUUAUUUCUUAAUUAGUCGCUCUCCACCAGAGUGCUCCAAGCAACUUACAAUUUAAAAUAUCAUUCCACAAUAUAAAAAACAUUCAACAUAAAAACAUUCAACCUAAAAACAUUCAACAGUGACUAUUUGGCAAAUUAGAUCUGUUUUACUUAAAUGCACAACCAAACAGCCAAGUCUUGAGCGCUUUUCCAAAAGGUUGCAACUCCGACAUUGCUCUAAGAUAUGGAGGCAAUGAGUUCCACAGAAUUGGAGCAUCGGUCGAAAAGACUCUACGCCUUGUAGCUUCCAGGUGUACCUCCCUAGGGCCCGGUACGUAUAGGAGAUUUUCCUGGGAGGAUCGAGGUGACCACUGAUGAAACAAAGGAAUGAGGCGGUCCCUAAGAUAUAAUGGUCCUUGGCCAUAUCGAGCUUUAAAUGUCAGGAUCAGUAUCUUGUAAGAGAUCCGAUGUUCUAUUGGUAGCCAAUACAGUUGUUUCAGAAUCAGUGUAAUAUGGGACCUUAUAGAUGAUCCCACUAGCAGCCUGGCCGCCGCAUUUGGGAGCAUUCGGAUCUUCUGGGUUUUUGUCUUCGAAAGGCCGGCGUAUAAGGCGUUACAAUAAUCCAACCUAGUGGUGACUGUUGCAUGGAUCACCGUUGCCAAUGCUUCUGUCGAAAGGUAGGAUGCCAUUUUCCUUGCCUGGUGAAGAUGAAAAAAGGCCUGCUUACUUAUGGCAGUGAUCUGGGCCUCCAUCGUCAGCGAUGAGUCCAACACAACCCC